AAAAAGGCUCUUUUAAGAGCCACCCACAUCGUUCCUAAAAAGUUG
rfam:Acanthisitta chloris contig33135, whole genome shotgun sequence.